rnacentral:rRNA from 1 species
UGAGGGAUAUUGGUCGAUGGGCGCAAGCCUGAACCAGCGACGCCGCGUGGGUGAAGAAGGUCUUCGGAUCGUAAAGCCCUUUUCCCACUGAAGAGGAAGGACGGUAGGUGGGGAAGAAGUCUCGGCUAACUACGUGCCAGCAGCCGCGGUAAAACGUAGGAGACAAGCGUUAUCCGGAGUUACUGGGCGUAAAGGGCGUGCAGGUGGCGUCUUAAGUCUGUUGUGAAAGCGCCUGGCUUAACCGGGCGAGGCCAAUGGAGACUGAGAGGCUGGAGGACGGCGGAGGGGUGUGGAAUUCCGGGUGUAGUGGUGAAAUGCGUAGAGAUCCGGAGGAACACCAGAGGCGAAGGCGGCACUCUAAGCCGUACCUGACACUGAGACGCGACAGCACGGGGAGCAAACG